GUGCUGUGCCGUGAAUGAACUGUGUAUGCUCGGGUUGAAAGUGUUUAAUUCAGGGCUCUGGAGUUGAGCAACUGCGCGACUCCUCCCACCGACCGGCUGCUCGGCCACCGUCCGCCCGAUGAAGGCGGGAAUCGGAGGCUGGGUCCGGUGGGACACCCGCUGCCAUGUCGGAAGCGAGAGAGCUGGCUGAGGCUGUGGAGGAGCUCAACGCCCAGUUGCUGAGGUUCCAAGAGAAUCUGCAGAAGGUCACCGAGUUCCAGGUCUCUCUCCUCCGUGUCAACAAACUGAUGUGCUUCUGGAUGGAAAAUACACACAAGUUAAUAAAGCAUCGCUCACUGAUGUUUCAGACACCGCCUACCCUGAAUCAGCCCAGGAAAUGAUUCCAGAUGUGUUCUGGUCCCCCACCCCCCCCCCCCCAUCCAGACCUUCCGGCUGGUCCCAUCUGAAGAUUGUAACUCUUUUCAUUCCCAAGCUUUGGAUUCUCCACUGGGGAGGUACACUGGCUGGUCCCUCCUAAGCCAUGACAUGCUGGAGUGCUGGCAGGCACGGAGAAACAUCGUCGGACUUGUGAAGCUGCGGACAAAACCAGCUGAAACCAACCCCCCCCCCACCCCCGAAUGGCUUGCAGGCUUUCUUUUAACCUGAUGUUAAGUGUCUAUCUGUCAGCUCUCUCUUACUACUUAAAUAAACGGAGUGAUAUCUC